GGAUGGAGGGCACGGCGGCUUCCAGUGUGGCUACUCGGUGCAAACAAACCCUCACGCGACGCCUGUGUGCUUACUUAUUAGUGUUUUUCACCUGCUUCACGCCCCACGCCGCCCUCCCUCACUCCCUCCAGGCAUCCAGGUUGUGGUGGUGGUGAUGGGCGGGACGGCGCCUCUCGACGAAUGGCUGUGUAAUGUGGCACUUGUGAACCCUUAUCUCGAAAGGAUGCGCUUCCUGCCCCCGAACCCUCGAUAAAAAAACCCUCCAUAAUGAUUCUUUUACCUAUUUAUGAUGAGAAUACUUGUUUAAUUGCUACUACACUUGUGAAGGAUAAAAAAAAAAAAAAAUUCAAAUCCAUAAAUAACUUUCACUGAUUGUUAAGAUGUAAUUAAAUCUCCUGCAGCUGUU